CUCCAUUGUACACAUAAAUUGUUAAAUUUAAAAAAUACAUUUCAUAAUUACAUGCAACAAAAUAAAUUAUAUAUAUAAUUUUAAUACUUUUUAUUACAUUUAAUUAAAAUAAACUUAACUAACUAUGUAUUUUUUUGAGAUAAAACUAGUAUGUUACCCGUUUUAUUUAUUUUUUAAAAAAUAAAUUGUCACUUGCGCUAGGGGCCAUCAAUAAUUGCGUAUAUUUUUAACUACAUCUAGUAUGAUUUUUUUCUUUUCUUUCAACUA
rnacentral:lncRNA from 1 species